UCGAACGAGGUACCCUUGACAGAGGCUUCGGCCAAUUGAUAGGAAUACCUAGUGGCGGACGGGUGAGUAACGCGUGAGGAACCUGCCUUGGAGUGGGGAAUAACAGUUAGAAAUAGCUGCUAAUACCGCAUAAUGCAACUAAGUCGCAUGGCUUUGGUUGCCAAAGAUUUAUCGCUCUAAGAUGGCCUCGCGUCUGAUUAGAUAGUUGGCGGGGUAACGGCCCACCAAGUCGACGAUCAGUAGCCGGACUGAGAGGUUGGCCGGCCACAUUGGGACUGAGACACGGCCCAGACUCCUACGGGAGGCAGCAGUGGGGAAUAUUGGGCAAUGGGCGCAAGCCUGACCCAGCAACGCCGCGUGAAGGAAGAUGGCCCUCGGGUUGUAAACUUCUUUUAUUCGGGACGAAACAAAUGACGGUACCGAAUGAAUAAGCCACGGCUAACUACGUGCCAGCAGCCGCGGUAAUACGUAGGUGGCAAGCGUUAUCCGGAUUUACUGGGUGUAAAGGGCGUGUAGGCGGGAGAGCAAGUCAGACGUGAAAUUCCAGGGCUCAACCCUGGAACUGCGUUUGAAACUGUUCUUCUUGAGUGAUGGAGAGGCAGGCGGAAUUCCGUGUGUAGCGGUGAAAUGCGUAGAUAUACGAAGGUGCCCCCGUGGCGAAGGCGGCCUGCUGGCCCUUUACUGACCCCGAAGCGCCAAAACCUGGGGACCCCACAAGGAUUAAAAACCCNNNNANUCCACAAANNAAAGAGCCUCUGUAUGGAUGUGGGGGGUCUGACCCCCUCCGUGCCGCAGCUAACGCAAUAAGUAUCCCACCUGGGGAGUACGAUCGCAAGGUUGAAACUCAAAGGAAUUGACGGGGGCCCGCACAAGCGGUGGAGUAUGUGGUUUAAUUCGAAGCAACGCGAAGAACCUUACCAGGGCUUGACAUCCCGCUGACCGGUGUAGAGAUACACUUUUCCCUUCGGGGACAGCGGUGACAGGUGGUGCAUGGUUGUCGUCAGCUCGUGUCGUGAGAUGUUGGGUUAAGUCCCGCAACGAGCGCAACCCUUAUUGUUAGUUGCUACGCAAGAGCACUCUAACGAGACUGCCGUUGACAAAACGGAGGAAGGUGGGGACGACGUCAAAUCAUCAUGCCCCUUAUGUCCUGGGCCACACACGUACUACAAUGGCGGUCAACAAAGAGAGGCAAAACCGCGAGGUGGAGCAAAUCUCAAAAAGCCGUCCCAGUUCGGAUUGCAGGCUGCAACCCGCCUGCAUGAAGUUGGAAUCGCUAGU
rnacentral:rRNA from 1 species